CCGCCAUUUACCGCCAUUGAUUCAAGUUUCUUCGUGACUGGCGUUUGUGACAUUCGGCUUGAACUGAUUUUUAAGCGUUUUUUAUUAGAACAAUAGAUCUAGUUUAAAAAUGUUUUUAACACGUUCUGAAUACGAUCAUGGUGUUAAUACCUUCUCACCCGAAGGAAGAUUAUUCCAAGUUGAAUAUGCUAUAGAAGCUAUAAAACUUGGUUCCACUGCCAUUGGAAUUGCAACAUCAGAAGGUGUAGUGUUAGUUGUGGAGAAGCGUAUCACUUCCGCUUUAAUGGAGCCUACAACCUUAGAAAAAAUUGUUGAAAUUGAUAAGCACAUUGGAUGCGCUGCAUCAGGUUUAAUAGCUGAUUCUAGAACAAUAAUUGAUCGUGCUAGAGUAGAAUGUCAGAAUCAUUGGUUCGUCUACAAUGAAAGAAUGUCUGUCGAAUCGACGGCCCAAGCUGUUUCCAAUUUAGCUAUACAAUUUGGAGACAGCGAUGACGAUGGAAGUGCUAUGUCAAGACCAUUUGGUGUAGCAGUUUUGUUUGCUGGUAUAGACGAGAAAGGGCCUCAGUUAUAUCAUAUGGACCCUUCAGGCACUUUCGUUCAAUUCAAUGCAAAAGCCAUUGGCUCUGGUAGCGAAGGUGCACAACAGAACCUUCAAGAAGUAUAUCAUGCGUCUAUGACGCUUAAAGAAGCAAUAAAAUCAGCUUUAGUUAUACUGAAGCAAGUCAUGGAAGAAAAAUUGAAUGAUGAUAACAUAGAAGUAAUGACAAUGACACCUGAGAAACUGUUUCAUAUGUUUACAAAAGCUGAAUUACAGGAGUUAAUUGAUAUUCUGCCAUCAUCAAAAGAAGAAUCCUUAAGAUCCAGAUCCAACAUGUCUGGUCCAUUUCCAUCACUCCCAUCUGUAUCCAUUGAUGGAUGAAAAUCUGAGAAGUGACUGGUGUAUUUGUUGAUGUUACCUCCAUCCUAAGACACUUAUCUACUUAUCUCAAUAAUCAACAAAUGUCUACGAAUUUUCUAACCUACACUUACGUUAACUAUAUGGAAGCAGCGUUUUUUAAUUUAUAACUCAGGAAUGCUGGAUUUACACGGAGCA